rnacentral:lncRNA from 1 species
ACAUACAACCAUCAACCGUUUCUAGCAGGGGAAUAGACUCAGCUGCGCAGCCUUCAUGAAAGACCCUUUUCCCCUCAAAAAUCUGGUCUCCUUCAACAAGAGAGGAGGAGCCAUUUCAAUGGCAGAUUCUUAACAAAAAACAGACCCUUCCCCAUCGUCCUUAUCUUCUCCUUCAACUUUGAGAAAGCGCGACUGACCCCUAGGCAUCACAGCUUCAGCCGUUUUUACAUUGAGAGACCUUUCAUCUUCUCCAAGCAGUCAAGAAUUUUAGCCGCACACCCAUGGCUACUUCUUCUUCUUCUUGAACAAGAGAGCACGGAACCAAACACAAAACCCUAAUUCUUGAAAUACACUGAAGAGAGCUGAAGCUGCAGCUGCUGACCUCGACCCUUCUUCCAUUUCCUUCGCUCGAGCUAUUGCUUCGCCGGAAUUGAUCACUGGCGAGAGACAACACCAACCAGCGACCCCUACUCGGAAAUACACGAAAAAGCCACUCAUCUCCUUCCAAAAAAUAAUGCCAAAAGCUCCAAAAGCUCUGCUGGAAAACGCAACAACACAACAAGGAAAAACAAUCUCAGAAACCAACCCAAUCCAACACCAAAACCGGAACUGAAAUUCAGCUGAAGACGUUCCGGAAUCGCCACAAAGUUCUGUCCGUUUUCGAGUCUUCUGGUAUCGAUUCGAGGUGAUACUGGUUUCGAAGUCUAAAUCGCCGUUCGAGUACAGUUCAUGAUUCUUCUUUAACAUUUGUUGUUGUUUGCUGUAUUGCCGAGUUCCCAUCACCGGGUUUCUUGUCCCUCGAUUAACUGUAAGUUGUUUUUGAAAGCGUUACUGUCAUCCAAGCUCAAUCGAGUUGAAUCUGGCGAGAGUCCAACGAGUCUCGAGGUCUGGUCGAAGUUCAUUUGAGGUUCCAUCCGAGUUGCUGUCUGAUUCGAGUUCCUUUGCAGCCACUGUUUCAUUUUGGCUCGUCUAACUGUUGAACAUUUGAGAGAUUGAAAUAUUCAUUUCAGGUGCAUUCUUUCCUCUGUUAUCCUUUACAUUUUGCUAUUAUUUAUUUGGAAGCUUCAGUUAUGAGAUUUGCUCUUCCACGAUGGUGUAUUUAAAAGUUGUUUAUUGGUAGCUUCAUUUGAGUUCACUGUAAUUUCUACAAAACAUGGUUGUAACGUAUGAAGUCAAUGUGCGCAUGAGAAUUGGUUGCUAUUUUGUUUUUGUUCUUCUCAUUAUUGUUGGUAUGUUUUUCUUCAAUAUAUGUUAGGAUGGUUUUAAUGGUUGAAAUUAAGUUGUAGUUCCGGUCAUAUUUUUCCCAAAUUUGUGGUAGUUGAAGCUAAGUGAAAUCGAGAUUUAGUGUUAAAUCUACAUAGGUGAGACUGUGCUUUAAAGAGUUUGGUUGGUAGAUUCUUUGAUUCCCAGUGGGAUUUACGUGUUGCUGAGGGAACGUGGUUAGAACUGGUUGAUUUGUUAUUUUAGCGCAUGUUAAGUUAGAAUUAAGAAUGUGUUUGUUAUUUAAAAGGGUUGACAGAUUAGUUCUAUAAGCCUAAUUAGGAAUAAUUCUUUUAAUAGUUCGAGGUGUGUCAUGUCGAACAAAAUCUUAAAAUGCACGGCCCUCAUUUAAUUAACAUGUGAAUCUUUAGAAGUCGAGGCAUGCCAUUUAGUUGAAUUUCCAUGGCCCUCGCAAAGUUGCGAACGCGUAAUUGCUUUAAGUGCGUUGUUUUAAUAAUAUGUGCGCAUUUAUGUGACCCAAAUCAAAAUCUCAACAAUGUUAAAAUAUGUCAAAGACCGCGGGUGCAUUUAUGUGACGUGGUCCAAGACGUGUUUUAAUAGCGUUGCAAUCUUCCUGAAAAUAAUUAAAUAAAAGCGGUCAAAAGAUUAAAAUGGCAUCAUAGGUUAAAACGUGUUUCUAGAAUCAGAGAGUUAAGCCGAAUAUAACAGUUGAGCGACCAUGCUAGAACCACAGAACUUGGAAAUGCCUAACACCUUCUCUCGGGUUAACAGAAUUCCUUACUCGGAUUUCUGGUUCGCGGACUGUUAAACAGAGUCAAGCUUUUCAUCGAUUCGGGAUUCAACCGGUGACUUGGGACACCAUAAAUCUCCCAAGUGGCGACUCUGAAUUGUUAAUAAAAAUAAUCCCAUUUUGAUUGUCACUUUAAGUUGGAAAAAACUCCCCUAUAUCACCCUUCUCGGGGUUGUAGGUAAAAAGGAGGUGUUACACUGCCCGAGGGGCUUUUGUGAUUUUUGACCGAGUAAGGCCAAGGGCUUGUAUUGUGAGGAUACUUUUGGAUCGGGCUGCACGCCGCAACAGUGAGAUACUGAUUUGAUUAUGAGGCCGAGGGCCUAAGAUAUGUACGCAACGAGGCUGUUUGUGAUUUAUAUGAGGCCGCGAGCCUAAAUUUGAUGCCACGAGAUGGCUUGAUAUUGCACUUGGGCCGUAAAGGGCCCCUCCCGGAGUCUGCACACCCCCAGUGAGCGCCGUCGAUGAAAAAUAUGGAUCGGGCUGCACGCCACAGCGAUAUAUGGAUCGGGUUGCACGCCGUAGUGGUGCUGGUACUGUUCUAUGUGUUUACUUUAUUUCAUUUGUCUGCCAUUAUCUGUUGUUUGUGCCACUUCAUGAGAUAUCUACCUAAUUGCCUGGCAUUAUCUGUUAAUUGAGUGUUGUGCCCGAGGGUCAGAUUACUUUGCUUAUCUGCACUAUUUGUUUGCAUUCAUUUGCACAACCGUUGAUAAAGUCAUUUUCAAAAGAGGUUUAAACUGAGCUAAGAUGUUUUUCUAAAGAUUUCACAGUUUCACUGCUUUUCUCAAAGGGUUUUGCACUGCUCUAUAUAGCAUGAUGGUUUAUUUUACAUGAUUUCUUACUACUCUGUUAUUAUUUACCCUUAUUACUCACUGAGUUGGAGUACUCACAUUACUCCCUGCACCUUGUGUGCAGAUGCAGGUAUUUAUACACCCGGUAGCGGGUUUUUGGCUGAUCAGAGGUAGAGUUAUCGGAGUUUAGCGAGGUGGCUGCCGGCGUUCGCAACAUCGCUUUUCUCCCUUUUUUUCAUUAUUCCUAUUUUGUAUAAUUUAGACCUUGUAGUUGUACUUACACCCUAAUAGAUGCUCGUGACUUGUGAUACCCCGGUAUCGGGCUGUGUUUGGGCUGUAUUUCGCAUAUCAUAAAGAUCUUUUGCUUAGUUUGUGGUAAUCUAUUCAUACUUAGA